rnacentral:rRNA from 1 species
CGGACGACGCUGGCGGCGUGGAUUAGGCAUGCAAGUCGAACGGUAUCAUCCUUUCGGGGGUGAGAGAGUGGCGAACUGGUGAGUAACACGUAGGUUAUCUACCCUCAAGACGGGGACAACCCAGGGAAAACUUGGGCUAAUACCGGAUGUGAGCAACUUUUAGUUGUUUGAAAGGUGGCGUAAGCUGUCGCUUGGGGAUGAGCCUGCGUCCUAUUAGUUAGUUGGUGAGGUAACGGCUCACCUAGGCAAUGAUAGGUAGGCGGCCUUAACGGGUGGUCGCCCACACUGGGAUUGAGAUACGGCCCAGACUCCUACGGGAGGCAGCAGUCGAGAAUAGUCUACAAUGGUCGGAAGACUGAUAGUGCGACGCCGCGUGAACGAUGAAUCCCUUCGGGGUGUAAAGUUCUUUUAUAUGUGAGCAGUGCUUCUUAUAUUAACAGUAUGGGGAGAGAGAUAUUAGCAUAUGAAUAAGCAACGGCUAACUCCGUG